rnacentral:rRNA from 1 species
GAUGAACGCUAGCGACAGGCCUAACACAUGCAAGUCGAGGGGCAGCACAUGCGUAGCAAUACAAUGGUGGCGACCGGCGCACGGGUGAGUAACACGUAUGCAACCUACCUGUAAGAGGGGAAUAACCCGGAGAAAUUCGGACUAACACCGCAUAAUACCUCGAAGCUGCAUGGCUUUGAGGUUAAAUAUUUAUAGCUUACAGAUGGGCAUGCGUAACAUUAGAUAGUUGGUGAGGUAACGGCUCACCAAGUCAACGAUGUUUAGGGGUUCUGGGAGGAAGGUCCCCCACACAUGUACUGAGAUACGGAACAGACUCCCACAGGAGGCAGCAUUGAGGAAUAUUGGUCAAUGGGCGAGAGCCUGAACCAGCCAAGUCGCGUGAAGGAAGAAGGUUCUAUGGAUUGUAAACUUCUUUUGUAAGGGAAUAAAAAAGCUUACGUGUAGGCUAUUGUAUGUACUUUACGAAUAAGGAUCGGCUAACUCCGUGCCAGCCGCCGCAGUAA